rnacentral:rRNA from 1 species
UGGUCUUGACAUCCCGAGAAUCUCCUGGAAACAGGAGAGUGCUUUCAUUAGAGAGAACUUGGUGAC